CCACACAGGUCAUAGUAGACAAACCCCUUUUAUAUAUCUGCUUGGGAAAACCCCCUGAGGACAACUAAAUUACCACCAGGAAAACAGGUUGGCAGUUUCAACUCAACCCUAAACAGAGCAGCAAAAUAGAAGUUCAAAAAGCAAGAGAUGGCUCGACAAAGAUUUAUCGGGAGCCGGAGUCCAAGCCAGAGCUCAAUUAGACCCCGGAGGAGAAGGAGGGGCCAACGUCGGCGGCGAAAGGCCCUGUUCUAUGGGAAAAGAAGGAAACAAUUCUAUGGGAGAAGGGCCCAAUUCUAUGGGAAGAAAAGGGCUCAGUUCCAAGGGAGGCAAAGAAGAGGGAGGAGAGGAGGAUAUAGAAAACUCUCUGAUAGAAGGAGGAGAAGAAGAUAAAGUCACCACCAUCUGUUACUACUUGGGAGUGAAGUUUUAAAA